UCGCAAGCUCGCGAGAGUAGCUAAUCUCUAAAGCCGUUCUCAGUUCGACUGUAGGCUGCAACUCGCCUACACGAAGUCGGAAUCGCUAGUAAUCGCGGAUCAGCAUGCCGCGGUGAAUACGUUCCCGGGCCUUGUACACACCGCCCGUCACACCAUGGGAGUUUGUAACGCCCAAAGUCGGUGGCCUAACCUUUAUGGAGGGAGCCGCCUAAGGCGGGACAGAUGACUGGGGUGAAGUCGUAACAAGGUAUC
rnacentral:rRNA from 1 species